rnacentral:misc_RNA from 1 species
AGCAAGAUCUUCCAAAUGCAAUGACUGUUUCAGAAAUCACUGAUAAACUUGGUCUGCACUCACUUCGCCAGCGACGAUGGUAAAAUAUUUUACAUUCAACUAAUCCAUAAUCCUGGAUCAUGGUUUAACUGUUGUAACUAAACUAAAAAUCAAGUCAUGUGUUGCAAAUUUAAGGAUCAAUCUCUCAAUUAUCAGCACCAGACAGAACUAUAAUUCUCUGAUUUGGUUCAGUUUGUGAUACACAUACUACCAUGAUAUGUGAGAUUGGAAAUUGGCUGGUUUAGGUACAUUCAAGCUACUUGUGCUACCUCUGGCCAAGGACUCUAUGAGGGUCUUGAUUGGCUGUCUAGCAAUAUCUCUAGCAAGGUAAGUUAUUCCAUAUUCUAUAAGCUCCAUUCACCUUGUGGAAAUAUGAAUUCAAGAAUUUUAUGGAAGUAUUCAAUAGCUGAACAAUAAUUGUUUGGUUUAUAGGGGUAAUCCAAGAAGCCGUGGAAGCCCUCAAUACAGAAAGACACCUACAUAAAGAAAGACUUGAAACUUUCCUAUCCUAAAAGAGAAAAGCAUGCGACUAUAGAACUUCACAUGUUAUGAAUUAAUUGUUGUAAGCUGCUGCUGCUGCUACUACUACUACUACUACUAAAGCAUUCUAUGUAACAAAUUAUGGAGAUUUGAUGCAGUGUGAUCAAUACCAAUAUCAAUUAUUAUCUUCAAAAUAGUAUUAUCUUCAAAGGGCAAUAAAAAAUAUGAAUGACUCUCAUUUCAGAAUAAUAUUAUCGAAGGAUUUGCAUCAACUGGGACCAAAGUUAUACUUUGUUCAGAACAAGAAGAAGAAAUAAUAUUUAAACUAUGGUUGUGGUGUCACAAAAAUUUGUAACCUGGAAUCAUGCUGCUUCCAUGUUUCACAAAAAU